rnacentral:lncRNA from 1 species
AAAAAAAAAUAUUAUAUAAAUUUUAGUUUGUCUCCGCGACUGGAGCACCACAUUAUUGGAAUUCCAAUUCCAUGUCAAACCAAAUGUAAUUAUUGGAAUCAAUUAUAAGGGCGCUAUUAGCAAUGGUCAUCUGCAGAACAGAAGACGGUGGUGCGGAAGGUGAUAAGACCCUCCCUCCUCCAGCGUGUGUACUAAGAUAGAAGAGAUGAUAUUGUUUCUAUGGGCUUCAAGGAGAUCUAUUGCAAUGUAAGUUUUCCCAUGAAAGUUUGCACGAUGAUUUGUAAAUUAUCUUAAUCAGAAUAAUCAUCCUGAUUGCUAACCUAUAAACAUGAAGACCUUAAGACAUACAUGAGAUGCUACGCCCAAGCAAUAAUCAUAACCAUUUGUCUGAAAUCUCGACAAAAUUACUUGUGUUCUCCAAUUAAAUAUGAAAAUUUCACAGCAAAUAUCAGCAUGAAGCAUUGCUUCCCAAAGUAACAGUAAUAAGGGUAUUAUAUGGAAAUUUAAGGGAAAAAUCAUAAUUCUCAAGGGGAUGAAUGUAUGAUACAAUGUUAAAAUAAAGAUCAAGAAUUAUUCCAGGACAAGAAUUCCCCUCUUUCCACGUAGCUUAUCCUUUUUCAUAACCUACAAUGAUUGUGACAAUGGUAGAUACAAAUUGACUUUUGGUUUGUUUCUAUGGGAGUUGUUUUUCUUUUGAUUCUUCAGCUUCCAUCUGAUCAUCUAAAAGUUCAAGAUCCACCAAAAAAGUGGUGCGCCUACUUCUCAUCCCAAUGGCUUCGUCAGCAAUUAUGCG